rnacentral:lncRNA from 1 species
UUGCCUUGCCGUAGUAUAUCUCUUGAUCCGAUGGCACGCAGUAAACACCUUUUACUAAUGAUAUGUGUUGAAAAAGUAAAGGUCCAGGCACGAGCACCCAAAAAGGGUAGUUUCCUUUGUCUAGGUUCUUUCGUUUGAUUCUAUGUAUCCUCCUUUCUCAAAAAGAUGAACGUGAGAAAUUAAACAGUAAUUCGCUUGCUUAAAAGUCAAGACUUUCUAGCUGUGGCAUUGGUGUUAGAGCCCCUUUCAAAGUCUCCAAAGCCUUUAGAAUCUUUCCCCUUAACUCUGCUCUAUGAAAAUCUAGCUGUGCCUCGUAUCUACACAAUGUCUUAUUUAUAUAGGGCUUUGCAGUUUACACGUGUUCGUCUCUAAUCCUCACAGCCUUUUAAGGCAAAGGUUAUUACCGUUAGGAUUCUGUUUUACAGAUGAGGAAACAAGCCUUCAAAACAGUGACUUUGCUCAAGGUCAAAAGCAAGCGAUGCAACAAGAAUUCAAUCCGAGAUUGAAGUGGUAGAUUUCACUUGCUUCAUGGUGAUGAUGUUGGUGGUGGGUGCUUUGAAGAUGCUGUGCUGUACAGCUGUAUGGAUGAUAGCAUCAUUGCUGCAUACUACCACGUCCACGGCAGCAUGUAAUUCAGCACAAACAUAGUGAUUUUUCCCCUCUGCUUUGAAAAAACAUGUACUCACAAAUUAUCCACUCCAUCUCUCCAUUUAUUGUUUCUGGGUUUCAGCUGGAUUUAGGAUCAGAAAUACCAUUUCCAGUCAGUUAUUAAUGACAGAAGAGGGUGCGUUCUCACCAACUGUUUUCCUAUAAUGCUGUAUUUUUAAAUCCCUGACCCGAUACUGUUAUUUUAAGAUUAAGUGGGUUGAACUUACUAAUGGUAUCAUGUAAAAUAGAGUUCUAUGCUCUCUCCUAGGUCAAGAUUAAAUAAUACAUGAUAGAAAGUGUAUAGUAAAUAAUGCACUUAGAAUUUUUUCUAUUUUUUUUCCUAAGAUGAAUGGAAAGACCAAACUAGUCUGUAGAAAGAAACUGCUCCAUGGGAUGCCAAGAAAGCCCUCAAAGUCAUUUGUUUUCGACCUACUUGCUUACUGCCAUUUCAGAAAAACUAGAGAAGAGCUGGGGUGCUGGCACAACCCUUAAUCCCAGUACUCUGGAGGCAGAGACCAGUGGUGCUCUGAGUCCUAGGUCAGCCUGGACUGUCAAGUCCUAGGUCAUCCAAGGCUAUGUAGUAAGACCUUUAAUAAUAAUAAUAAUAAUAAUAAUAAUAAUAAUAAUAAUAAUAAUGGAGUGACAACUUUCUAGGCUGCAGCAACUUUAAACGCCAAUUUUACAUUCCAACAAACUCUUACUAUCCCCAAUUUUAACACAGUGACAUUUUAGUUCAGGAGUGCAUAGCUGUCAAUGCUAACAAUUCAUGUCAAGCUUCUUACAUCAUAACGUAGCAGCCUCCCUCAUUUAGAUGACAUUUGUGACAUUAAUUUAUGACUCAGCCCACACAUCAAAAGGGAAAUGAUAUAUGUUGGUAAAACAGUACUUCUAAGAAUAAAAGAAAAAACCCACACCUCUGCUGCUGGAAAUGAGAGGCGUCUUUGCUUAUAUUAAUGAAGACACUUUUUUACAAAGAUCAAUAUAGAUCCUAUUGCAUUCUUCUUAGCAAGAAAGCUUUGUCAGUGGCUGCUGGCAGAGGUGGUGGGAUCUCAAAGCCGCUGUGUAGGUGGGCUGGCCGAUGUCGAGUCGCAGUUCGUCCUUCCUAUCACCCUGCUUCCCUGUCUCCUCACACCUCCAGGUCCAUUCUAUUGCGUUUUUAUCUAAUAGAAAAUGUGACGAGCCCUGGCACAUUCUCAGACUCUCAGAGUCAUUUUCUACAUUCGCUUGGUUUUUCUCGGACCACCUGAACAUCCUUCCCUGCUCUCAACAUAGCCCGUUCUUUUUUCUCAUCUUUGAAUUUGUGUGCAUCUUCUCUGGAAAAUAAGACCAGACUUUACCGCCAUUGUAUUUUAAAGUAAAUUUCAUUAUUAGCACUUGAUGUGAUUUUAGGAUUUGCUGAAAUAUGUAAUGAACUUUUUCAUUAAAACUCAAGCCAUG